rnacentral:lncRNA from 1 species
CUCAGACCUCCCAGUUCCGAAUCCUGUUUCUUCCCAUCUAAUGACAGCCGCCCACGGUGUUCUUCUCCACUCCUCCCAGGCUUGCCGCCCCGACUCGAAGGCAUGCACAGGCCCACGGAUCUACCACACCUUGACCCCCAGUCUGCAGAGGCUGGAUACUUUUUCUUUGGACCAGUGGCAAGGUUGCCGGUUUCCCGUCUGCACCUCUUCUGAGCCAGUUACAGCAGGAACUCUAUAACUGUGCUCCGACGAGGAGUUUUGGUCGCCCAUCCCCUGUUACAGGUUGAAAUCUGCAUUUGUUGAGCUGUUUCUUGUGCAUGAGGUCAGGGAGGUGACCAUCCCAGAGGCAGGCUCCUGUGAC